GUUGGAUCUUUCAACAUCCUUACUCAAAAUGGGAAAUUCUGAAGUGGAAGACAGUCCCCAGUAUAGCUGUGAAGAGACUACAAGUAGCCAUAAUUCAAAUAAAAAUAGAAGAAGCAAAGCAAAAAAAAGAGGGCAUCAACAAACAACUCAUCCGGCGCCGCUAUGAGGACCUGGAAGGCGUGGAGGAGAGCAGGGAUCAGCAGUGCUCACAGAGUUUCUGGCUGGAGCUGCUGGAGAAGAAGCCUCAGAUGCCAAUUGUCAGAAAGGCUGACCCCAACAUGAAAAAAUUCCAUUACACUCUGGUGGAUGGCUCCUCUCUGACCUAGUAUCCUUCUGGGCACCUAGCUGUCUGUCAGAGCUAUUCUGACCUCCCUUCAGGUGGUGUGUACACCAGCGUAUUCAGUGACUUGCCAAAUCCAGUUAUCCUUGGAACCUUUACACCUUUUGGAUGUGGCAGCACUUCUUUUCCUAAGAGACAAACAGUAGCAGUGAUGUUUAAUUAGGAAGGAGGCCUGGUGAUCAGCAGAAAAGGAAACAUCAUAAGGGAAUGGACCUGGCCUUCAAAGGGAAAACUUGAUAAUCCAGUGGAAAUUUGGGUAAAUAGGUUCAUCACUGUGAAGAUUUCUGGACAUUCUGCCACCACCUUGGUCUACAAGUGGCAUUCCCAAAGCCUGAAGCUAUCUUUGGCACCUGUAAAAUGCCAGCCUUUCCCUCCAUGCCUACCCAAAGUGGGUUCCUUUUCCCAUUGAAAGCAAGGAUACCUGGUUUGCUUCCCAGCUGGUUUGUCCCAUGGUCCUAAGGAGAACACUGUGCAGGGACACAGGGCACACGUGCCAAUGUAGCUCUCACAGCAUCCUGAAAGUGACAGACCUGGAGUAUGAUCACCUUAGAAGCAGCCAGAUGUCCUCUGCGGACCAGGUCAUCAUAGUCUAUGUCUUCUCAGUCAUUCGGAUUCCUUUCGGUUGCUCAAAUAUAACAUUGUAUCUGCUUCUAAAUUCAUGGGCAGCAAUUGUCCUCUUCUGGUUCAAAGGCACAAUAUAAUCCCAGGAAUUUUUUUGAUGUACAUUCGGGCAAAAUUACCAUUUGCCAACUUAAUUUUCAAUGGCUAUAGCACAUCUGCUAAAGACCUUCAGAAGCAAAUUGUGAAGACAAGGAAGGACUACUAUAUGGGAUAUUUCCUACUCAAUGACUUCAGAAUCCA
rnacentral:sRNA from 1 species